CCUGGAUCUCUCUAUGUAGACCAGGCUGGCCUUAAACUACAUAGACCAGCCUGCUUCUGCCUCUUGAGUGCUGGGAU
rnacentral:miRNA from 14 species